GGCUGCAUCAAAACAGCGACGAUUCUCUGUAUGGUUUUCAGCACUGUUGUGGAUGCAAAGGCGUGCAUGUUGUAGGAUUGCCAGCUCUGCAUAGGGAAACUCCUGGAGACUUGGGGAAAGAGCCUGGAGAGGGUGCGCUUUGGGGAGGGGUGAGACCUUAGCAGGGUAUAAUGCCAUGGAGUCCACCCUCCAAAGCUGCCCUUUUCUCCAGGGGAACUGAUCUUUGUGGUCUGGAAAUUAAUUGUAAUUCUGGGAGAUAUCUACAUCCCACCUGGAGGUUGGCAACCCUAUGUUGCCGAUGGGGUUCCUGCAUGCUUAGAUAUUUUGUGCAUUUUCUCCAUUUGCCCCUGUAACUUUCCCCUUCCACACAUGCUUUGCAUCAACUUGCAUUGGAUAUUGGGGGUGUGCUCAUGACAUUUCCUGUGGCUUCUCACCACACCUCUCCCCCCCCUUUUGAUUCACACAUGGGUAUAAUGCAAUAGCAAAAAGAGCACUAUUCUUUAUUUAUAUCCCUUUUUUCCAUUGUGGGGACCCAGAGUGGCUCAUUACAUUGUUCUUCCUUCCUCUGCUUUAUCCUUGCAAAAGCAACUCUAAGGCAGGAGAGGGUGAGAGAUUGUAAUGGGCCCAAGAUCACCUGGCAAACUUGCAUGGCAGAGCGGGGAUUUGAACCUGGAUCUCCCAGGCCCCAAACCACCACUUUAUCUACUACGCCAUGCCAGCUGAAUGUGGAGUAUUCCUCAGCUUUAAGCACUGCCCACCAUUUCCUUUUUAUCCAGUACAUGGGGAAAUCAUUGCUCUGUGUAAUUUGGAAUGACUGGCUGCCCAUUUAAUUCCUGUCUGAAACGUUUGGUUGUACCGUGAAUUCCUGCAGUGUAACUUUAAAGCAUGGCUGGGGAAAGUACCAGCAGCCAAACCAAGAUGUCCCCCCUCCUCAGUUUCUAUCGCUUGUUGUUGGAUGUCUUGCUCUGUGCUCUAAGGAGCAGCUUGGACCUUUGUCUGGUGCUUCUGCGUAACCAACAUGAGAGGAGAAAAAGAUCUCGGGAAUGGAUCGCCUCUUGCCACAAGGUUCUCCACAGCAAGGGGAGAGGACAGCCCCAUUGGUUGGCCAGGUUUCCCCGGAAAUGCCCAACAAGGUUGCGCUGGUAUGCCCUUGCUGAAGUGGGUGUACCCCGUCGCUGGUGGGUGUACCCCUGCCGCGAAGAUUGGUGGGAGAAGUUUGUCACAGAAGUCUGGGAUGCCGAAAAAUGGAUUGAAAACUUCCGCAUGAGCCGAGGCACGCUCUUCAGCAUCGUCGAAGUCCUCAGACCACGUAUCGAGCGCCAGCGCACUGUCAUGAGGGCACCGAUAGCGACAGAGAAGAGGGUUGCUAUCACAGUGUGGUGGCUUGCCAACAGAGAAUGCUACCGCCUCGUGGGCCAGCAGUUCGGGGUUGCCCGAUCCACGGUGGCAGAAAUAGUUGUGGAGGUGUGCUUUGCUAUGGAGCUAGACUUACUUCAUAAGACAGUGUGCCUUGGAGAGGUUGAUAAGAUCAUGGAUGGCUUUGGAUGCCUUGGCUUUCCUCACUGUAUUGGGGCACUCGGAGAGACCCACAUCCCUGUCAGAGCACCAGUCCGACAGGCCGAGGAGUACAGGAAGCAGUUUUGCUCCAUACUUCUCCAGGGGACAACGGAUCACACCGGUCGCUUCAUUGAUGUGGCGGUCGGAUGGAGCAGCCAUAAUCACAAUGCCCACAUCUUCAGGAACUCUUCCAUCUAUACAGCUAUGAAUGGAGGAGUUUUUGUGCCUGGGAACCCAACUAUCACCAUUGGCAACGUGCAAGUUCCACCCUUGAUUGUGGCGAACAGCAGCUAUCCGAUACGGCGCUGGCUUAUGAAGCCCUAUGAGGAACACGGUGACAGGAAUCAGUCCCUCUUCAACCACCGACUCAGCAAAGCCCAGAGUGUGGUUGAGUGUGCUUUCCGGCGACUCAAGGCCCGGUGGCAGUGCCUGACGGUGCUCCCAGUUGCGGAAGAGAAUGCCAUAGCGGUGGUGACGGCCUGUGUGAUUCUGCACAACAUCUGUGAGGAGAGAGGGCAUGCUGUCCUCGGUGACCUGCGUGAGAGACAGGCUCUACUUUUCCCCACAAAUGAAGAAACAUAUAAAUGCAACGAUGACUGUCAUUCUGCGGCAGGGAACACUGUGCGGGAUGCCAUCUCCGCGUUUAUGCAGAAAUCCCUGGCUGGACCAUGAACUCCAGAAUGCUUGAAUAAAGGCCACUGCUCUAAGGACCUGAUUCACUGGUGUAGCAACAGGAAGAGUGGUAAUUCAUUCCAUCCUGCAUCUUACCAAAUUCAAAUAGGAUGAUGCUCCUUUGUGUUCAGACCAGGCCUCAAUAUGAUCAUAGCAUUUGGGAAGGAAGAUGCAGCCCAACAAGCCAGCACUGGAGGCCAGGAUGGAGAAGAUCUGCACGGCUACCAUGUAUUUCCCUUUCGUGCUCAGGUAGGUGGGCACAAAGGACAC